CCAAAACCUAAUUAUAUUAAAACUCCCACCCCCACCGUACCCCUACCCAGUCGCCGACACUCCACCCCACCACACCCCUAUCCCUCCCCGCCGUUGACGCCCCAUCCCCACCACUGCCUGUCCUCCGUCGCCACUAAAGGCUGUGGGAGCAUCAAGAGCUACUGGAGGAGAAUACCGUGAGAGAAUCGGUCAAUCCGUUUGCCAGGGAUGUCGGGGGGGUUUACAUUUUAGCGAUGUACUUGUACUAAAUCUUGAGGCAAUGGCUUGGAGCAUCCUUGUGACAACAGGGCAAGGACCGGGGCCAAGAGAUAGCCACAGUGCUGUUCUUGUUGGCCAUAGAAUGGUAAUAUUUGGGGGUACAAAUGGCUUAAGGAAGGUCAAUGAUAUGCAUGUAUUGGAUGUCAGGAUCCAAGAAUGGACUCAACUCGAAUGUCAAGGAAAUCCCCCUUCCCGCGUGAAAGUCACACGGCUACUCUCAUUGGUGGUGAUAAAUUAGUCAUCUUUGGUGGUAGUGGUGAAGGCGAGGCAAACUAUUUGAAUGAUUUACAUGUUUUGGACCUUAAAACUAUGAGGUGGUCAUCUCCUGAUGUGAGGGGUGAAAUGCCUGCUCCUAGGGAUAGUCAUAGUGCUGUUGCGAUCGGUAAUAGGCUCUAUAUUUAUGGUGGAUACUGUGGUGACCGAUAUCAAGGUGAUGUUGAUGUGCUCUUUCUUACCAGCUGAAUGUUGUUGGACGAUCACCUGGUGCUCGAGCCGGUCAUGCCUCUGUGAAUUUUGGGU